GAUGAAGGGGGCUAGCGUUGUUCGGAAUUACUGGGCGUAAAGCGAGUGUAGGUGGUUGUCGUAGUCAGGCGUGAAAGCCUUGAGCUCAACUCAAGAAAUGCGCUUGAUACUGGGCAGCUAGAGGACCGGAGAGGAUAGUGGAAUUCCCAGUGUAGUGGUGAAAUACGUAGAGAUUGGGAAGAACACCAGUGGCGAAGGCGGCUAUCUGGACGGUUUCUGACACUAAGACUCGAAAGCGUGGGGAGCAAACAGG
rnacentral:rRNA from 1 species